rnacentral:rRNA from 1 species
CACGUAGGGGCCAAGCGUUGUCCGGAUUUAUUGGGCGUAAAGAGCUCGUAGGUGGUUCGGUAAGUCGGAUGUGAAGUCUCCAGGCUCAACCUGGAGGGGUCAUUCGAUACUGCCGUGACUAGAGUUCGGUAGAGGAGUGUGGAAUUCCUGGUGGAGCGGUGAAAUGCGCAGAGAUCAGGAGGAACACCCGUAGCGAAGGCGGCACUCUGGGCCGAUACUGACACUGAGGAGCGAAAGCGUGGGGAGCGAACAGG